UUUUACUAAUGAAAAAAUUGCAAACAAAAAUUUUGUGAGAAAAUGUAUAACGCAAUACAUAAAAUAAAAAUUGUCCAAGAUUUAAAUAUUUAUUAUAAGAGUAAUGUUUAGGAUUUGCAACGUGUUUUUUGAAUCCUCUACCAGAAAGUUUGUGUUCACCACGUGGGGUUUGUGGCAUUGCACAAUGCACCGCGACCACAAUCGAAGGAAUACACACCCCUCAAUGUGCCUCGAACUGUCAUCAGAGACAACCAGUACUGUUAUUUUAUUUUAAGUAAUGUAAAAACUAUUACACUAAUAAUAGUAAAUUACAGUAAUAAUUGAAUGUUUGAAAUACUUAAAAAAAAAAAAAAAGGUUAAGAAUACAAUAUCUUUUUCUUUUUUUCUAUUGGCUAUAAUUUAAUUAUAGUUUCCUAAAUUUGAAACUUUAAGUUCUGCGAAGAAAUUGGGCCUUCAACUUCCAUUCCAUCGGAAAUUAACUCCUUAUGGACGGGAUGGUCCUCUCCAAAAUGUAAUAAUACUUGUGGUAAAGGAUUUAUGGUAGCCACUGCAUCAUGUCAAGAUCAGACAACAGGAAAACCAGCCAUAGACUGCAUCGGUCCAGGAUCGUUUUGCUGUCCAGAUAGCUUCGUUAAAUGUUACUGCGAGGUAAACAUCGUCAAUGGAAUUAUGAGAGCGGCCAGGUUCACAGAACCUUGCAUUUCUACCGAAGGGUGUAUCUUAAGCAACACUGGAACAUUCACUUUCGAAGGAGAACUCGAUCCUGGUAAUAACAUCAACUUCGACGAAUCUUAUGAGAAUGAUGCUCGUGAAAGAUUCGAAGACACGUUGUGUCCCUCGGAAUCAGCGCGUGCGAUACAGCGUAAUCUCUUAUAUGCCUAUGCUGCUGAUCAUGAGGAUGAGUACGUGUUACGCGAAAAUAGACUGGCAAAUAAAAACUUUAAACGCAACCGUGGAAAUCGUUCCGUUCUGAGAAGUCGAUUAGGCGAUGAUGCCGACUAUGCCAACCAAGACGAAGACGACGAUGACAAUGACAGCGACAACGACGACGAUGACGAAGAAGGGAUCGAUAACAAGAGUGGUGUCGACGAUGAAAAGGACGACGAGAAUGACGAAGACGAGGAGGACGAGGAGAACAGAGACGAGAUGGUGAACGAGUCGGAGGCAGCGCGUUAUUACGAUUACGGUUAGUACUUGAGCAUAAAUCUUUUCCUGGGUUUUUGUAGAUUGGGCUCAAAGGCUCCGCGAAGGGUCGCCGGAGACCCAGAAAGCAUAUUCGAGAGGCAAGGUUCGAUUCUGCGGCGAUUGCGUUCGAGGGUAAGCAAGAGGUCAACGAACCCGAGAGGAAGGGUUUUAUGAAGAUCAGAUCCGUUACGGAGGACUGUGAGGAUGAAUCCACGGAACCACUGCAAUAUUAUGAUUAUGCAAUUCCAGCAUACUUUUAUAGUAUGGCUUUUUGAAACCACGGAGUUUAGAAAAAAAAAGGUUAUAAAUGUGUUUAUAAAUUUAUUUAUAUAAUAGUCUUUAUGAAUUUUCUAUUUU